UACGUAGGUGGCAAGCGUUGUCCGGAAUUAUUGGGCGUAAAGCGCGCGCAGGCGGUCCUUUAAGUCUGAUGUGAAAGCCCACGGGCUCAACCGUGGAGGGUCAUUGAAACUGGGGGACUUGAGUGCAGAAGAGGAAAGCGGAAUUCCACCGUGUAGCGGGUGGAAAUGCGUAGAGAAUGUGGAGGAACACCAGUGGCGAAGGCGGCUUCUGGUCUGUAACUGACGCUGAGGCGCGAAAGCGUGGGAGCAAACAGG
rnacentral:rRNA from 1 species